rnacentral:rRNA from 1 species
UACAGAGGGUGCGAGCGUUGUUCGGAAUUACUGGGCGUAAAGCGCGCGCAGGCGGCCUUUUAAGUCUACCCGUGAAAUGCCGGAGCUCAACUCCGUGCACGCCGGGGGAUACUGGGAGGCUGGAGACAGGUAGAGGCAAGCGGAAUUCCGGGUGUAGCGGUGGAAUGCGUAGAUAUCCGGAAGAACACCUGAGGCGAAGGCGGCUUGCUGGGCCUGAUCUGACGCUGAGGCGCGAAAGCUAGGGUAGCAAACGGG